rnacentral:rRNA from 1 species
AUUGAACGCUGGCGGCAUGCCUUACACAUGCAAGUCGAACGGCAGCGGGGGAGAAGCUUGCUUUUCCUGCCGGCGAGUGGCGAACGGGUGAGUAAUACAUCGGAAAGUGUCUUGUAGUGGGGGAUAAGUAGUCGAAAGAUUAGAUAAUACCGCAAACGAGCUGCGGGAGAAAGGGGGGGACCGCAAGGCCUCAUGCUAUAGGAGCGGCCGAUGUCUGAUUAGCUAGUUGGUGGGGUAAAGGCCUACCAAGGCGACGAUCAGUAGCUGGUCUGAGAGGACGAUCAGUCACACUGGGACUGAGACACGGCCCAGACUCCUACGGGAGGCAGCAGUGGGGAAUUUUGGACAAUGGGCGAAAGCCUGAUCCAGCCAUGCCGCGUGAGUGAAGAAGGCCUUCGGGUUGUAAAGCUCUUUCGGCCGGGAAGAAAUCGCACAGGCUAAUACCUUGUGUGGAUGACGGUACCGGAAUAAGAAGCACCGGCUAACUACGUGCCAGCAGCCGCGGUAA